ACCAAAUCUGACUGUUGCCCAAGGAUAUGUGUGAAUAUAGUAUUUUCAGAUGAAAUCUCUCUGCCUGCAUUGGGAAUACUGUUCUUGAUAUCACAUAUAUACAGUGCACCAGCUCUUGAGUUGGAGAUCAUGAGGUUCUAAUUCUUUUGAGACCAUCUGACGUCAGUCUGACAGAAACUGUGCGUUUGUAACCAGUCCAAUUUUUUUUCUUUCAAAUGAACUAUUAAAGCUGGGUUUUGCUGCUUUACUUUUAUUGAAAGAAAAUCUUAUCUAAUGUUCAGUAAGGAUCCUCAUGCCCUUUCUCUUGGAGAAGAAAGAAUAACAGAGGUAGAGGCAACAUGAACCCAGGAGAAAUGAAGAUGAAGUAUUCUGCAAGUGAAGUUGAGUCAUGGGAUUAAAGCUAUUUUAUCCCAAACUGGUUUAUAUUCUGUUGUGCUGUAAAUUAGAUGUUGCAUGGGAAGAUAGUCUUGUGGAGACCUAGUUUGGGAAAGUACUUUAUAUAAGGGUUCACUUAAACUUUGUCCUUUUUUUGUAACAUGUCAGUUAAAAAGUUUGAAUCUUGUGUUGUGAUGACUAAAAGAUCUGUUGAACACCUCUUAAGCGAUUACUUAAUAGAAAUUUGAGGAGUUCUCUUUGAAUGUAGCCGCUGUAUCAGAUAUUACAAAAAAACCACAUAUUGCACUUUCACGAACUGGUAUUAUUUCGACAUGCAUGGAACAUUUGCAUCUCCAUAUGGAACUAAAGGUCAGUGGCUACACCCACAGCUUAGUGGAAAUACAUGUUUUUUUUACAGAGCUGUCAUCAGAGAAUGAUGGAGCCCUGUUUGUUUCUAGUAGAAUGUUUUUACCUUUGACAGACAAAUACACUUCUGCUGUCUCUUGUGGAAAAGUUUGCUUUAGAACAAGCCUGGUGACUUAGGUCCAAGAAGUUUCCGUGGCUUGUAGAACCUACAGAGGGUAAGCAGUCAUUAACAGUGUAAGGAGAUUUCUUUAAAGUUGCUUUUUCUUUGAAUUUUUUUCUCUUUAUCAAUGCAGUAUGCUACAAAAAUGCAUAUCAUUGUGUUCCAAGGAAAAACGGCAAAGUAAUUAUAUUUCAUAAUAUCUUGCACAGCUGAACAAGUUUACAAGCUUCUCAAGUUCUUUGGUAUUUCACACACAGUGUUGAGCACUAUUUCUUGUACAGUCUUCCCACUUAAUCCAGGGAAAUAAUAAUUUUAAGCUGUACUUACAGGACUGAAAGUUUAAUGCCCAAGUUUGUAGGAAUCAGAACUGACUGGACAGUACUAGGGAAUCUGUCAUUGUGGAAAAGCAUGCUGUCACUGUCACCAAAACUAUUUACUUAAGUAUCCAUUUAGAAAAAUAGUGUUAUUUUUGUAGACUGUAGUUUUACUGCUAUAUAAUGCGGGAAAAUAGUAAAGUACGUGUUAAUUGUGUACUUAGAAGUGAGCUGAAAGGAUAGUAUACUUAAAUUGCAACUCACAUGCAGUGGAUGUAUUUAGGCCUGAAGUCUGUAAUUCAGAGUAAAUACCCUGGGCAGCAUGACUCCUCUUCCUGAGAAGUCUCCUUGAAGAUUUUUGCAUCCAUUCUGAAUUUCAGGUGAGAAAUUGAGGGUUCUUUUGGUUGCUGAGUGCAGUAAACGUGAGUGAACUGUAAUUGUUGGAGGAAGCUGUGAACUGAUAAAGCCUUCCAUUUCUGUGAAAAGAAGCCAGAGGACAGAGUCAUGGACCAAAACCUAGAAUAAACCUGUGAAGAGAACGUGGUUUAGCAUUUUUUUAAAGGACUGCUUAGAUCACUGCGUGUUUUUUUGCUUUGUCUCCCAUUUUAUGACUUGUUGAGUUGGGGUUGGGCAACAGAGGGAAUUCUGCAGUUGUCUCUUUUUCUGUAAAAGAAUUAUUCUGGCCCUAUUGUUCCUAACCACUUACAGAAAAAAGGAAAAUGAAAGCCUCAAAGAGUUGAAGUACUUGAAGAAAAAUACAGUUCCUUUUUGAACAUUCAGUUUUAGUUUUAGCCUUGUGAUUCUUUAAAUACAUAUUUAAUCUGCAGGAAGGUAUUUCAAUGCGAUUCUCAACUGGAGGAAAAUGCUGACGAGGAGUUGAGGUGGGGAAUGAACUGCGCUGUCAGUUGCCUGUUACUUUUAUUUUUGCACUCAAGUAAUCUUAUAUGGAGAACAUGCUGAAAAAUUUACUGUAAAAUACUAUAUUAAUACCCUCUUCACUCAAGAGAAUGCUGUUGUCCCUCUGGCAGCAGCCAGGGUGAAUGUCCUUAAAAGGUUUUGCUGAACUGAUUGAAACCUGAUAGCAGUGUACCACAUACCUGUAAUUUCGGUUAGAUGUUUCUACUGCCUAUAGUUGUGCUAAACUCAGGUCCUUGGAUGUUUUUCUGAUCUUUACCUCCAUGUUUGUAUAAAAAUUGCUGUCUGUAUUGCAACUUAGUUUAAGAUUAAAGUGAAGGUUCUUG